UACAUGAAAGGCCAAACCUCGGUUUGGCAGGGACGGAAAGCCACGGGUUUCAUGAGAAAGCCGGGUUGCCAUU
rnacentral:ncRNA from 1 species